rnacentral:misc_RNA from 1 species
UGUGUUUGGGGCGCGCCGCGG